UGCCAGGGGUAUUUUUUUUUUCCACCACACACAAAUCCUUCACGUGUAGCCAUUGUAACCCCGGUUAUUUUCAGUAGUUUAGAACAUUCCGACGCUCCUGAACGCACCAUCCGGUGGCAGCAGAGACUCACGAUGAUUAAAAAGAAAAGUGCUGCUGCUCUGAAUGUGCGUCUGUUCCAGUGGAAGCUCCGACCCAGAGCAGCUCUUUCUUCUGCAGCACCUGUGAACUUCAGCUGUGAGGACUGGAGGUCCUACAGGUCCAGAGUUCUAGGCUACAAGCUUGGACAUGGCAGGCAGCCACACUGCUGAGCCUCUCCUGGGACAUCGUGGAGCAGAGCCUCGUCUUCAGACGCCGUAGAGCCUGAGGCGUCUCUCUGCUUCACAAGAGAACACUGGACCACCAGCAGGAGCCGGACCAGGGUCUGACCAGGGUCUCCACUGGGACCUCCAGCACCAGGGUCUCCUGAUUAGAUAAAUACACACUGCACUUCCGUUGUAACUAGUAAUCUGUAACCUGGUAGAUAACCUCACUAACUGUGAUUUUAUUCUUUCUUUGUACAGACGUUGCCUCUUCAGUCACCUGUUCUGCAGCUCUGUGUUUAUUUCUGUUGAUCUCUGCUCCUGGACAAAUAAAAUAAUGGAAAACCCUCCUGAGACUGAUGGUUCUCUGUGUCUGACACACCCUGGAUGUUCAGUAGUGUUUGUUCUUGUGUCGAUGGUUCAGUUAAUAUUUUGAUAUAUUUCUUUAAUGGUUCUGGAGCAUCUUUACCAGGACGAACACAUGUCAGUGUGUGUGGAGUUGGUACAUUCGCUUGAUCAGUCUAAAGCUAUCUGAGGACGUCUGAUGGUG